GACGAACGCUGGCGGCGUGCUUAACACAUGCAAGUCGAACGGUAAGGCCCUUCGGGGUACACGAGUGGCGAACGGGUGAGUAACACGUGGGUGAUCUGCCCUGCACUUCGGGAUAAGCCUGGGAAACUGGGUCUAAUACCGGAUAGGACCACUGCCUGCAUGGGUGGUGGUGGAAAGCUUUUGCGGUGUGGGAUGGGCCCGCGGCCUAUCAGGUUGUUGGUGGGGUGAUGGGCUACCAAGGCGACGACGGGUAGCCGGCCUGAGAGGGUGACCAGCCACACUGGGACUGAGAUACGGCCCAGACUCCUACGGGAGGCAGCAGUGGGGAAUAUUGCACAAUGGGCGCAAGCAUGAUGCAGCGACGCCGCGUGAGGGAUGACGGCCUUCGGGUUGUAAACCUCUUUCAGCACCGACGAAGCGCAAGUGACGGUAGGUGCAGAAGAAGGACCGGCCAACUACGUGCCAGCCGCCGCAGUAA
rnacentral:rRNA from 1 species